ACAAGGACAACAUGGGGGCACAAGAGCGUUGGCUUGUUUCUCUUUUGAAUUCCUGAUUCAGAAAGCAAUGGGUUCAGGGUCUUGGUGGAUUGUGAUUGAUCUACUCCUGUGGAGAGAAACUCCAACCUCCUGGAGUCUCUUGCCAAGACAUCAAGGUGCGGAUCCUGUGGGAUACAAGUGCAGUUUAUAUUUGCAGAGGUCCAUUUGAUACCCUCAACAAACUCCUUCGGCAUAACCUCUGAGGAUCUCAAGGCACUGCGGGGCCUGAACAAGGACGACAGGGAUGUGGAUCACCCAGCCUUGUCCUCAGACGCCUAUAAUGUCUCCCUGGGAGUCUGCAGUGAGGUUUGAGCACAGUCAAGAAGAGAUUGAGGAACAUUGAAGGAAGACCAAGGUGAGUCACCAUGGAGGCCUAGGCAGAGACUGAAGACAAAGGAUGGCAUCAGGAAAGAGCAGGUCUGAAGGCCAGUGCUCAGAGAACCUCCCACCACAGCCAAGGGCACCACCCCAGGAGUCAACCACUCAGCCUUUGAAUAAAUGAACACUGAGUCUCGGGGGUCCAGGGAUACUGUUAUAUCAAGUAGAAGGGCAUUCAUGAUCCAUCCCCAAUGGUUCAGCGGGCUUCAACUUUCUUCUCUUUUCUUCCCAGAAUCCGGUUUGUAUUUUUUUAAUUUUUACUUUAUUUUAUUGUUUUGAUGAAACCCUAAGACUCCAAGAAGAAAAGUUUUAGAGAAGUUCCUUCUAUCUUUAUUAACUCUAAAUCCAACAAGCCAACCAGCCUGCUUGGAGGAGGACCCUCCCUGCCUGCUUUGCAGAAAUGUCAGGAAUGAUGUAACACUUGGGAUUUUGUUGGCUUGGUUUUGUUGUAGUGGUGCUGAUUGCUUUCUUUUUCAUAUGCAGUUUAAGAGUCAAAGUGCUAGCCCUCUAUCUUUUCACGGCUGCGGAUGUCAAGGCUCAGAGAAGUUAAAAGCACUUUUGGGGAUGCACAGGCUAGGAUGCGGCAGAAACAGGCCUGGUUCCAGAGUCUAGAUCUGUCUUUGUCAAAGGAGGAUGACCAACUUGGGUAACCUCAGUGCUAAGCAUCACUGGAGAAGUGAAAGGGGGUGCCAUGGGUAGAUGGACGGGUACACGUGGAGGACACAGCAGGAAUGGGGCUGCCGUCAGCCACCAUAAAAUAGUGUGCUCAGCCAGUUAGGAAAUGACAUGCCUCCUCUAUACCCCUCCCCCUCCCUGUGCCAAUGGGUGACAAGCCACUAAGAAACCAGAGUUAGAGGUAACUCAGCUCUGUGAGCAUGGAAAGAGGAGUAAGAGAGAGGGCAAAGCAGGUUUGGGGGGGGGUCUGGGGGAGGGGCAUGCUGUGUGAGCAGUGAUGGGGCUCAACUGGGGAGUGGAGCGGCCCUGGUGAUGAACACACUUCCUGGGGUUGAAACACUUGAGAACAAUGCUGACUAAGGGCAUGCCUGGUCCAUUUCUGAGAAGACUAGUGCUGUUGCUGGGGGUGGUAAACACGCAGAUUGGAGUUUAAAUGUGACUUGCAGGAAAGCCAGGUGCAAGCUUCAUUCCCUGAGUUAAAAUAAAAUAAAAUAAAAUAAAAUAAAAUAAAAAAGCUUUUAAGGCAA
rnacentral:lncRNA from 1 species